CUGCUGCCUUCCGUAGGAGUUUGGGCCGUGUCUCAGUCCCAAUGUGGCCGUCCACCCUCUCAGGCCGGCUACUGAUCGUCGCCUUGGUGGGCCGUUACCCCGCCAACAAGCAAAUCUGACGCGGGUCCAUCUUACACCACCGGAGUUUUUCACACAAAUCCAUGCGGCUUCGUGCGCUUAUGCGGUAUUAGCACCUAUUUCUAAGUGUUAUCCCCCAGUGUAAGGCAGGUUACCCACGCGUUACUCACCCGUCCGCCACUAAG
rnacentral:rRNA from 1 species